AUGAUGAGGACGCGGAGGACGCAGGGGGCUGAAAUGCUGUGGACGCCAUCUGGAAAAGUUAAAGAAGAGAGUGGAGGAGAAAAAAAAAAAAAGGUCAGGUCAAUAGAUGUUGGGAGAGGAGAUCGAGUGACACGAAGGUGUGAACAGGUGAAAAGGGAGAGAUAGAUGAAGGGGGAGGAACAAGGAGGGUCAGGGACAGCAGGGAUGAACAGCAGAGAGAGGAGAGAAGGAAAUAAAGAGACACUGAUAAAUGAAUGUGAGCCAGACAGGAAGGAUUGCAGAGAGGAAGAGAAGAGGUGAGGAGGUCACAACUGUAUUAUGAGACAUGCAGCUUGAACCACUGUACGUGCAGGACUCUCUCUCUCCUCUGCACAUGAUGUCAGACAUUGUGGACAUACAUCCACACCGGCACACAUUCAAAUGCAGUCAUCAUCUGCUCACACUGCUUAAUUCCCUGGUGGACCUACAUGGCAGACAUCAGAUGCGGUUGAUGACGGGAGAUUUAUUAUGGUUGGGUCGCCCCGGCAGCAGGCUGAGCAGGGUAUUCCACACGUCCCUCCACCUUGUAAUGUUGUCUGGCUCCUCCUGGGGGAUCCAGUGGCGUUCCAGGGCCUGACAACAAGUAUAAUCUCAACAACGAGUCCUGGGUCUAACCGAAAAGGUCUCCUCCCAGUUGGACUGCCCCCAAAAACCUCCAAAGGACAGUGCCCAGGAGGCUUCCUAAUCGGCUGCCCUAACCGACUCAGCAGGUCCUCUUUUGACGCUGGGGAGCAAUGGCUGUCCUCUGAGCUCCCUGCGGAUGUCCAGGAUCCUCACCCUAUCUCUAAGGCUGAGCCCAGUCACCCUGUGGAGGAAACUCAUUUCUGCUAUUUAUUGAAGUUUGACAGCUAAAUUGAAAGCUUUGCCUUUCAGCUCAGCUCGCUCCUCACCAAUCUACAUGUCCGUCUUUUUAACCAUCCCUCAUGAACUAACUCCUUCACUUGGGACAGCAGCUUAACCUUAAGGGGAAAGGCGCUUAUUUGCCUUCUUGUUGACGAGACAGAUCAAUGCCAGUCUGAUGUCUGUGUGGUAAAUGUGAAGGUGGAGCCAGGAGGCGAUUAGCUUAGCUUGGCAUAAAGAGUGGAAACAGCUAGCCCGAAUCAUGUAUUUCCUCUGUAUGAAACCGAGCAGGAAGUUCUGUGCAAGUCAGUCCCUGUAGAACAACACCCUUUUCAGAUUUCCGUGCAAAGCUAAACUAACCGUCUCCUGACUUUCCCGCUUCACAUUCAGCAUAUAAACAUGAAAGCGGUAUCAAUCUUCUCAUGGAGAUUUCAGCCAGUAAGCGAAUGAGCGUAUUUGCCAAAAUGUCAAGUCUUUACAGUCCUCCUAAGAAGUGAGGACCAGAUGAAAUGUCAGGAUGGUUCUCAAAAAGAUAGUGGAUACAAAAAGCACACACAAACACACCCAAUCCAUCUGCACCAUGGUUGUUUUUUUGUUGACACAAUGUUUUUUUAUUGCCAUGUGAGCCCCCUGUGGACUUUGUGCUUCACUGUUUUCUAAAGAGACAAAAAAAAAUACAACCAUUUCUUCUGCCAGGCAAACUCCCCGCGGGCUCCUAGAAAUCCCCCUCGGUGGCCCACGGGGGACAAUAGUGACUUUCAAACAGGAACAUUUGACAUCUCAACAAAACGUGUAACAGGCUGAUGGAAAGUGAUCCUCGAUUAGUAUCAGUGCCCGGUGUGCCCUGACAGUUUGUAACUUGACUGGGAUUUUAUCAGCCUUCAGAGGUAUUUUGGCCCCAGGCAGCCCUUUAAUUCUGAUAGUAAAUCUGGCACACACACGUAAAACACCCAGUAAAAUAUCUUCAUUUGGCUUCCUCUCGUGGCUACGCUCAGUACAGCUAAUUUGAACAACCUGCAUCAUCACAGGGAUCUUCACUAAUAUGAAGCCAUUUGGAGGCUCGAAAAUAAAAAGACAAACUAGAACAAUUCAAGCCAAACGGCCAUUUAAGCAACUACAACCAACAAACCUUGUCCACUUCCUGUCAGCUGGGGUCAGUGAUUAUAUACAGGUGCAUGCUGUGGCAUGAUUAUUACAAUUCUGCAGAAAACACAAGUCAGAAACAAUAAGGACAUUUUUCACAGAGUUCUAUGGUGUGGUUUUUGUUUUGUUUUUCACAAGUUAACCAACUGAGGAUUGUUGUUACAGUGCAGGAAUCUGCAGAGGUCUGACACUAAGCCUAAUCAUAAUGUGUCCUGCUGUGUUAAAAGGCACACGUUUUAACCAAAGCUCUAUGGGCAAAGUUUUUGAAAGUGAAAAAGUGUUAUGAACUGUACGUAUGGGAGUCGAACACAGUCAUAAAUGGUUUGACGCCCUGCUGAAGGCUUAAUGUUAAAAUAUGUCAGAGUUUGUUUGGGAUUUUGGUAAAAUGAUGUGUGUACGUGGAUACAGGAGGGAUUGUUACUUUGGAAUAGUUUUGUACUACUCGAGAUCGGUCUGAGUCUCAAGAGCACUUUUUGAAGGUCUCUGUCUCUUCUUGAAUUCAUCUGCACUUGUUGAUGAAGGGGAAUAAACUUAAAAUGAAUAAAAUAAAAAAUUAACUUUCA